rnacentral:rRNA from 1 species
CCUACGGGGGGCAGCAGUGGGGAAUAUUGGACAAUGGGCGCAAGCCUGAUCCAGCAAUGCCGCGUGUGUGAAGAAGGCCUUCGGGUUGUAAAGCACCGGACAUCCAUUAACGGUACCCGAGGAAUAAGCACCGGCUAACUUCGUGCCAGCAGCCGCGGUAAUACGAAGGGUGCAAGCGUUAAUCGGAAUUACUGGGCGUAAAGGGUGCGUAGGCGGUUUGUUAAGUCUGUCGUGAAAUCCCCGGGCUCAACCUGGGAAUGGCGAUGGAUACUGGCAAGCUAGAGUGUGUCAGAGGAUGGUGGAAUUUCCGGUGUAGCGGUGAAAUGCGUAGAGAUCGGAAGGAACAUCAGUGGCGAAGGCGGCCAUCUGGGACAAACUGACGCUGAAGCACGAAAGCGUGGGGAGCAAACAGGAUUAGAUACCCUUGUAGUC